CUCUCUCUCUCUCUCUCUCUCACACACACACACACACACACACACACACACACACACACAUAAAUAUGCACUUGUAGGCAGUACUUAUCUGUUUCAGGUGAUUAUCUGUGACCAAAACCAACCUGUCUUCAAUGCUCUGAGAUGUGGGAUGCAACAAUACUGAUAAAACUUUGGUAUCUAUUUAUAAAGAUUGAUAAAGUAACCAUCAGGGGGAGUUCAUUUAUUCAGAAAUUGCUUAGACUAAAUUUCACAUCAAACAUCUUUAACACCUGCCUUGUCAUUAUCAUUUUUAGUUUUAUGUGUUUAGUCAUUAAAGAACAUGUUCUCUAACAUCGGCCUGCUCAGAUUAUGAAGGCUUUUUUGCAAGACUGUUUGAUAUCUAAAGUAUAUUUUUAAAUUACUUUUAAGUUCAUAAUGGCGUCAGUGAAAUACAGUGAGCUGGACUCUCAUUCCUGAUGAUCUGAAAAUUGCUGUUACUGAAAAUAAAAUUGAUGGAGAAACAAUUUUUCACAUUUCUCACACUUCAUUACAAAGAAAUUAAACAUGACAUUUUGAGAUAGAAAGUAAAACAUACUCCGAUAAUCUUUUUUUUUUUUUUUUUUUUUUUUUUUUUUUUUAUAUUCUGACCAAAUCAGACCAAUAUAUAACACAAAACCGUAACUUUUUACGGAAUGAUAACAAUCUCCACAUUUGUGUCAAAAUCAAUUGUGAUUAAUAUUUUUGUGGGUAAAGUUUUUAUCAGUUCUCUGUGUUGCUUUCGCCCAUGAUGGUCAUAAAUAUGAUGCUACGGGGUCGCGAUGAAUAUUUUUCCCUGUCUGCCGCCGUGAGUUCUAAUGUAGAGCGAACGGUCACAUGACAUUUACGCCUCAUGUGAUUGGCUCAAAAAGUUCCAAAAGCAUUUCCAGCGUCAGCCGAGCAGCUGUCAUUGAGACGAAACGAAUGGAGAAUCCAGGUACAUCUGAAAUACAAACUUCUGAUACAGCUGAUUGGUUCCCGCUGUAUCAGUAGCCAAUGAGACAUUCAAAUUCUUGCCAAUAGCAGUUGCAGUUCGCUUUCAGAAACCCUCCACCUUCCCCAGCUCCACCUGUAAACAGAGGUGACUCAUGUGUGCUUGUACAGCAGCGUGUCGUGUCUAUUCUGAGUUCCUCGCAGCAGCAGCAGCAGCUAUAAUCAGCAGCAGAUCUGUUCCGCCAACACCAAACACAUCAACAUUGUCCCUCAUUACCGUCCCAAACUCUCCGAGAGUUGUCAUGACAGAACUCUUUUCUUUUAAUUGCAUAGAUGUUGCAUCAGUGUUUGAUCAGAUGAUUUAAACAUGUCCGAUUGUCUCUUCUGCUUUUCUGUAUGGCCUCAUUGUGUCAUUAAGCACUCAUAUCUACACUGACAGUGCACUUUAAGCAGUCACACACACACACACACACACACCGAGACAGACAGAUCACUUCUCUGAAUGUUCUCUGUUUGAGUGUGCAGCGAUGUGCCUCCCUCCGUUUUGAAAUGACCCUGUCUUGGCUGAACGCUCACGGCUCAUUUAGAAAGCAGAAGUGAAACGCACCCCUCUUUCCAAAUCCCUCACACUCUACAAAAAGCUCUACUCGAACAAGACCAACAGACAAAUCUGUCGUCUUCUGAUAGAGCGUGUUUUCGUACAGACAGACAUAUGCGGUGGCUGAUAGCAGCUCCUGUGGGUGUUCUCCUCCGAUGCAUCGCUCUCUCUCUCUCUCUCUCUCUCUUCUGCAAUCUGAUCACACAACGAAGCCCUAAACAAACUAUGACUGAAAGGAAGUGAUAAACAGCGUUUCCUGUAGAGCGCUGCCUAUGAUAACAGGUCUCAUGGACGGCAGUAUGAGUCAAGGUUCUUCAAAUGAAAGAGGCUUUUUUCCUUCGCCACAACAAUAGCGUCGAGCCGCUGGGCUGUGGUCAGAGGUCGCGCUGGAAACAAUAAAAACACACUGGCCGUUCCUGACGCGUAACAUUCCUGCGGGAAAACCAAAACAAGAGUGCAAUAUACAACGCCUCGUUCAUUCUCUCCACUAAAAACCACUGAAAACCCUCCACUGUCGUCACUCAGGACACGUUUGGCCUGAAAUUCACACCUCUGUGGUCAUCUCACACAUCUGUGGCGUGUUUUAAACACACACUUACUCUCAUCUGAGCUGCAGAAACACUGAACAGCGUCUUUACCACGGUACAGUGCAUGUUUGGUAACCAUGAUCAGGAGGAACAAUCUAAACAUUCAUAAAAACAAGAUACAGUGACUGGGGAAGCAAAAUGACUUAUUAUGUCUUGUUUUCUGAGAAAUUAAUAAAAAUGGGUUUUUGCUUAAAACAAGAACAAAUAUCUGCCAGUGGGAUCACAAAAAUAGCCUUGUUUUAAUUAUUAGUUUUAAUUAUUUCAUUGGCAGAUAUUUGUUCUUCAUUUUGAUAGUUUUAAAUAAUUUUGCUUCUCCCGUAAAUGUACUUGAUUUAAGGUUAUUAUAGUUAAACAAACUACAACCAUAAAAAAAUAUUUUUGUUGCUUGGAAUAAAAGAAUACAUAUAUAUAUAUAUAUAUAUAUAAAGGGGCUAUAUGCAGAAUUCAGAAACGCUAGUAUUUAGCGACACCGGUGGCCGUUAAGUGAACUGCAGCAGGAACUUCCUGCUCGUGCUCGCGCACACGUAGAGACACAACGCGAUUCAAGGCCCGAUAUAUUCGCAGUGAGGUUCUUUUUUGUUCUUUGCUUAGAAGUAAAAAGAAGUUGGAAAUACCUUAAUUUGCAGCAAUGUACUGUUAACGAACAUCCCGACGCCUCUACGCAAAAAUGACAGAAAGCAGCAGUUCAGAAAGCAUCUGAUCGUAAGUGAUGUGGAUAUGUUUGAACCAGCUCUGCGAUUCACCGACAGAUGUCGACAGAUGAGAACACACUCUCUCACACACACACACUCGCGGGCGCAGACAGUGUGACAGUGUUUUCUCAGCUCCUGUGAUUAGGAUCUCUCGUCACUGGACCAGCCCUCUUCUCCUCAGGCUGAAAUCCCCUCAGAACGUCCUUCACUCGCUGUGAGAAAACAACAUGAACAUUUUAUCUUCACGCCAGUGAUUACACGUACUCGACUUCCCUAAAGCAGCAGAUACAGCUCUUCAUGAGCCCUUCUAUAUUUACUUUUGAUUUGCUAUUGAAGUCAUGAAAUGUAAACUUUCUGCAAGAGGCUGUUUUUAGUUUUCUGCAUGUAAAGCUGCUUUGAAACAAAGUCUUUUGUGAGAAGUGCAGAAAUUGACUUUCUUAAUUCCUGUUCCUGGUCUUAUUGUGACUGAUCCAAAAAAUAAAUGCUGGUCUUAAUCAUAAUGCGACUUUCCUCCGAAACGACUUUCCUUUCCAGCUGAUGUCAUCAGUCCCUCAAACCCGUCUUUUGCUUUGUAUCAAGACUUUGCACGACUCUAAACUUAUUUUAACUAAAAAUUAAAAUGAAACUGGGAAAAAAGUUAAAUAAAAGUAUUAAUUACAUUAAUAAUUCACAUGUCAUUUAAUGACAUACCAAGCCAUAAUUGAGAUUAUGACAUACUAUGUGAUAAUUAUGAGACUAAAAAGUGGAAAUUAUUACUUUCUAUGUCAUAAUGAUUAUUUUUUAAGUCAUUAUUUAAACUUUUAGGCCCGGUUUCACAGACGGGGUUAGGCCUUAGUUCAGUCAGGAUAUUUAAGUAACUUUUAUAAACGUACACUUGAAAAUACAUUACUGGUGUGCAGCUUGAGAUGAAACAAUGGCUCUGAUAUAUUUUAAGAAAUAUCAGUACAAGUUGAUUUCAGUUAAAACAGCUCAAACAUGCAGUUCAGUCUCAGACUAGCUUAACCCUUGUCUGUGAAACCGGGGGCGAAUGUCAAUUUCGGCUCUAUUGUGUCAUAACUUCAACUUUUAUGUUAUAAUUAUGAUUUUUUUUUUAUAAUUAUUUUGAAUUUUAUCAUAAUUAUGGCUGUCAAUUAUGACUUUGUAUGUCAAAAUUUCAACUUUUUAUAUCAUAAUUUUGAUAUUUUUUUACUUUUCAUGUCAUAAUUUUCACAUAGAAUGCCAUAAUUUCAACUUUCCAUCUCAUAAAUAUGGCAUAGUAUGUUGUAGUUUUGACUUUUUAUCUCAUAAUCGAUUUACAGAAGCAUGAUUUUUUUUCUUAUGUGGCGGAAAUGGGCUUCCAGAGCUGUUUCAAACACGCAUCUGAUGCAGUUCUGUGCAGUUCCUCUAGGGGCGCAUAAAUCACACCUUUUAGGUCUCUUAACACUAUUACCUCACAACAGCAGCAUCACUAGACUUCUGUAAGCUCGAGUCAUGAAGUCUGCAGCCUCCGGCGUUGCUUCAGACCCUACAGCUAAACCUUUAAACACAUUUAGGCUUUCUGUCGGUUAAAUUGACCUCCUGCGGGUGGACGGGGAUGUUUUAAACGUGUGCCCUGUGCUCCACUGACUCCAUUGAGAUGAAUCUGCUGGUGAGCGGCCGGCCGGCGUUCCUCGGCCCUAAUUUAAGAGCGUUUCCUCACAUUCUCAUCUGUGUUUUCACAGCCCGCCGUGGGCCAAAGGGGAAGCAAAACAAAUUAGCCACCAUUGUUCGUAGCCCUGAGCUCUCCCAAUAACAGUAUUUGUGGAAACAUACAUGCAGGAAUAACUUCCUGAGCCACACAGAUUAAUUGUCUAAGGACCGGGGAAAUCAAGCACUUACUAGCAGCCUUACAAGGGCCUUGAAGUCCAGACUCUCUCCCGCUCUGUCAUCACUGCUGUUGUGCCACAUCCCAUCAUUUCUGAGGAAACGGGGCGAGUGUGUGUGUGUGUGUGUGUGUGUGUAGGAGAGAGAGAGUGAGUUGACAGUGCAGAAUGCUGAAAACAGGAUACGAGCUCUCAGUGAAUAAAGGCCGUGUUCAGAAACAUAUUCAUGUUUCAAAUGGAGGAUCUCCUGUUGACAAGUUUAUGUGACUAGAUCAGACAGAUCAGAACCUCGUGAGCUGCUGGAUUCUAAAGGGAUUUUCAAAUAAUCGAAACAUUCAAAAAAAAGAUGAAGCAGAAUGGAACGGAAUAAAGAGGGAAAAACAUUUUUUUCAUGUUUUGAAAACGAAGCCAUCACGUGAAACUGGUCUCAAGGAUGAUCUACACUCCAUAAAAUAGUUUGUUCAAUGAACUUAAUUAAAUUAAUGAAGACUUUUCCAUGUAAUUAGUUGACAUCAGUACAAUAAGAAGUUUGUGUGUCAUAAUAGCCAUACUUCAGUUGUUGUGUGUAUUUUUGGAUCUCUGUCAUGAGGGAAGAGUUCUUUCUCUUUGGCGCUGUUGACUCUGUCCUCGAGUAAAUAAAUCCUGUGUUUGACACA